rnacentral:misc_RNA from 1 species
GACGAAGAACGCAGCGAAAUGCGAUAAGUAGUGUGAAUUGCAGAAUUCAGUGAAUCAUCGAAUCUUUGAACGCACAUUGCGCCCUUUGGUAUUCCUUAGGGCAUGCCUGUUCGAGCGUCAUUUAAACCUUCAAGCUCAGCUUGGUGUUGGGUGACUGUCCGCUUCACCGCGGACUCGCCUCAAAAUUAUUGGCGGCCGGUACAUUGGCUUCGAGCGCAGCAGAAACGCGAACUCGGGCCCGUCGUAUUGGCUCCCAGAAGCUAUCUUCACAAUUUUGACCUCGGAUCAGGUAGGGAUACCCGCUGAACUUAAGCAUAUCAAUAAGCGGAGGA